UACGAAGGGGGCUAGCGUUGCUCGGAAUGACUGGGCGUAAAGGGCGCGUAGGCGGUUUGGACAGUCAGAUGUGAAAUUCCUGGGCUCAACCUGGGGGCUGCAUUUGAUACGUUCGGACUAGAGUGGGGAAGAGGGUCGUGGAAUUCCCAGUGUAGAGGUGAAAUUCGUAGAUAUUGGGAAGAACACCGGUGGCGAAGGCGGCGACCUGGUCCUUGACUGACGCUGAGGCGCCGAAAGCGUGGGGAGCAAACAGG
rnacentral:rRNA from 1 species